CUCUUUUGCUCAUUUAAAAGCCAUGCACCAAUUCAGCAUACAUCUUUGAAGAGUAGUUGAUGCAGACACAUCCUCAUCUGCCAAUUCUGCUACAGGUGUUACUGCUGGAAGAAAAGUGGGACUGGCAACUGGCAUCAAUAACAUCUUAAACUACUGAGAACAGAGCCACCAGCGGUGACUGGUCAAAACCCUGUGACACACGAAGAAUUGCAGUGGAAGCAACUAAAACCCAACAAGUAUAAUGUGGACAACCCUAUUCCAGUUCUGUGUGCCUUUGGGUUUUAGCUGUAAUAUUUGGUUUAUCUACCCACUAUUUUAAAGGUGCUAAGGAUUUGAGUCUGAGCACUGAGAAGUUUACGGUGGGUGUUGUACCAAAUGCAGCAAUGCUUUCCAAAAUCCAUUUAUUUAUUUAUUUAUUUAUGGUACAGUUGGUCAAACAAUGAUGUUAGAAGUUCAUCCGCAAGGACAGAAAGUAGGAAUGCUGGCUGUGUGACAUCUGGCACAUAUACACUGCUGAAUGACUGGAAAUCCUCCUUGGUAUUCCUAUUUCAUCUGAGCGUCUUCGAAAGACACUUCAGGUGCUGAAGUCAGCCAGAGGUUCCAGGAAGGAAACCCUUCACUCUGCGCUGAAAUCACUUCCCAUGUGCACUGCGCACCUGAGGAGAGCCCUGUAACAUCCUGUAUUUCCCUGCACACUCCUUGUGAUGGGGGCACAGGACAAAACUACAGGCAGAGGGAUGCUCUGGGCCUAUGUGUACUCCUCCUGUCCUGAGGCUCCUGGUGCCCAAAAUGUGUCAAUGGAGAGCUGGGGAGAAACUAUGAUGCUGGGCUGGGAAUAUCUAAUUUACCCUUUCUGUGACAGGGAGGGUCAGGUGCAAGCCUGAAAAACAGAAAAGUUCACUUUUAGUGCAUGGUUCUCUACAUGAGCAUCUGAAUUGAGGCAGAGGAAUAAGAAGGGGAAAAAAACCCCACACUAAUAACUACAAGAACAGGAGUAUUAAAGAAAUGAGAUGUGUCUAAGACAGAGUUGGGGAUAAAAAGC
rnacentral:lncRNA from 1 species